UGUGUACUCACUCCGUUCGGAAUUACUUGUCGUAAAAAUAAAUGUAUCUAGACGUAUUUUAGUUCUAAAUACAUCCAUUUCCGAGACAAGUAAUUCCGAACGGAGGGAGUAGUUC
rnacentral:pre_miRNA from 1 species